rnacentral:lncRNA from 1 species
CGCGCGCGUGACCCGCCGGCCCCGGCCUACCCUCACAUCGAGUACCAGCCGGCUCCCGCCAUGCUCUCCGAGCCUCCGCAGGCGCCCCUCACGGCGAAGCCGGCGGCGCCGCCCACCGCCGUUGCCAUCUUCAGGCUGAGCCGCGCCGACCUCGGGCGCCUCCGCUCGCGGAUCCCCGCGCGCGAGGGCGCGCCGCGGUUCAGCACGUACGCGGUGCUGGCAGCGCACGUGUGGCGGUGCGCGUCCCUGGCGCGCGGCCUCCCCGCCGACCAGCCCACCAAGAUGUACUGCGCCACGGACGGGCGGCAGCGGCUGCAGCCGCCGCUCCCGGAGGGGUACUUCGGCAACGUGAUCUUCACGGCGACGCCGCUGGCCGACGCCGGCACGGUGACGGCCGGGGUGGCGGAGGGCGCGGCGGUGAUCCAGGAGGCGCUGGACCGGAUGGACGACGGGUACUGCCGGUCGGCGCUGGACUACCUGGAGCUGCAGCCGGACCUGUCGGCGCUUGUCCGCGGCGCGCACACGUUCCGGUGCCCCAACCUGGGGCUCACCAGCUGGGUGCGCCUGCCCAUCCACGACGCGGACUUCGGGUGGGGGCGGCCCGUGUUCAUGGGCCCCGGCGGCAUCGCGUACGAGGGGCUCGCCUUCGUCCUCCCCAGCGCCAACCGCGACGGCAGCCUGUCCGUGGCCAUCUCGCUGCAGGCCGAGCACAUGGAGAAGUUCCGGAAGCUCAUCUACGACUUCUGAUCUCCUUCACACACGAGCCA